GCCAUUGAUGUCACGUAAUUGUCUGUGCCUAAUGCCUGCUUUAAUGGGUCUUGUUAAUGCUGUCUCUGGGUUUCAAAAAUAUUAACAAAAGUCCAUGACGCAAAAUCACUUUCAUAGUGUCAAGAAAAGACAAUGGACGAUUAAUAGGCAGCAAGAGAUUUUCAACCUGGACAUCGCUCAGAACGGUGAACUGUGCAUUCAGUUAAACUUCCCAGGACUUUCUCGUAUUGCCGUACGCUCGACAAAGAGACUGAGGAUUUCACCCAGAAUUUCACUACUGAACUCUUAACGUAGGACUACGAUGGAUUACUCAACACCAGAACCCGACAAGCUCCUCCUUAGCAGUAAGGACUCGUAGGAACAAACACCGAUUGUUGUGGCAGUCAUUGUAGUUGGCUUCAUUGUUACCUGCGUGGGAGCUUGCCUAUUUUGUUGGUGUACACCAUUGUGGACUUGUGCUAAAUGUCUUUGUAAACCAGCUACGUGCUUAUAUCCAAAAACAGCUUUACUAAGAAUUCAAAACUCUUCCGAGCAGAGGCGCGCUAGUCUGAAAUAGAACUGGAAGAGUUCAAGGUUAACGAAGAGAGCGCGUGGAAGAAAAAAUCGGAGCGUAGAUAUAGCGUGGAACAGAUGCAAAGAUUUUCUACGUCUUUGCAUCUGUUGCAUGCUUUUUCUUUUCUUUUUCUCUCCUUUCCCUUUAGAUGCAAUUGAAUUUUAAUUGAAAACAGCUUUGGAUCCGAGUAUGAAACUGUUUCAGACAGGAUUGACGUACCUCGUUUAUAUGUAAUAUUAAGUUCUAGAAUAAAUCGUCUGUUAAUACUGCGAAGUGGAUACAACUGGCUUCAGUCUGCUAGCCGCCAUGGUAGUAACAUUCAUUGAUUGUAUGACACAGAUCAUUUAGAGAUAGGUGAGCUGGCGACUGUGUUUCACUAAGCUUCUGCAUGAAAUGGU